UCCUCGAUGGUCUAGUGGUCAUGAUUUCCGCUUGUCAUCGGCUAAAGUUGUCAAGCGCGGGAGACCAGGGUUCGAUUCCCUGUCGGGGAG
rnacentral:tRNA from 3 species